UACGAAGGGGGCUAGCGUUGCCCGGAAUCACUGGGCGUAAAGCGCACGUAGGCGGCUUCUCAAGUCAGGGGUGAAAUCCUGGAGCUCAACUGCAGAACUGCCUUUGAUACUGAGGGGCUCGAGUCCGGGAGAGGUGAGUGGAACUGCGAGUGUAGAGGUGAAAUUCGUAGAUAUUCGCAAGAACACCAGUGGCGAAGGCGGCUCACUGGCCCGAUACUGACGCUGAGGCACGAAAGCGUGGGGAGCAAACAGG
rnacentral:rRNA from 1 species